GACGAACGCUGGCGGCGCGCUUAACACAUGCAAGUCGAGCGAGAACCUGGGCUUCGGCCCUGGGGACAGCGGCGAACGGGUGAGUAUCACGUGGGUAAUCUGCCCUCGGCAUCGGGAUAGCCCGGGGAAACCCGGAUUAAUACCGAAUAGCCUCCGGAGCCUUCGGGCGCCGGAGAAAAGGUAGCUUCGGCCUCUGGCCGAGGAUGAGCCCGCGGCGGAUUAGCUUGUUGGCGGGGUAACGGCCCACCAAGGCGACGAUCCGUAGCUGGUCUGAGAGGACGAUCAGACGCACUGGGGCUGAGACACGGCCCAGACUCCUACGGGGGGCAGCAGUGGGGAAUCUUGCGCUAAUGCGGGAAACCGUGACGCAGCGACGCCGCGUGGGGGAAGAAGGCCUUCGGGUUGUAAACCUCUUUCAGGAGGGACGAAGCUACUCGGGUUAAUAGCCCAGAGGGUGACGGUACCUCCAGAAGAAGCCCCGGCUAACUACGUGCCAGCGGCCGCCGCGGUAA
rnacentral:rRNA from 1 species